AAAGUGGUGCAAAUGGCAUGUUCUCUUUGCAAAACAGUACAAAGGGCUUAGUUCCGGGGAGUUUUGAUCAGGUUAAUAAGUCCAAGAAUGAUGAUUCUCAUAUUACUGUGGCGGGUAUUUUUAUUUACUUCGAAUGGUCAGAUUCGGAGACUCAGUUGCUGACAAUUAAAUUAAGUUCGGAUGGAAUGUCGUGAUGAGGUCAGUGUCCAGCACACUGGUUGGAGUUAGCCUAGAAUUUGAAAUAGCUACAAAUUGUGUUUCUACAUGGGCAAUGAGAACAAUAUUGUGGAGUUUGGACCUUUCUCGGCGAACAUCAAGUGCUAUCGUGUCGGAAACAAUAUUGUAUCAGCUUUCCCUGUUGCUAAAAACUGAACUAUAUGUCAAAUGCUCUGAUGCUUCCAUUUCUUCAUCAUUGAUGGGAUUAUUUUGGCCGAGAAACAUUAGAUUUCCUUUCAAGUACUCAACUCGCAAGAACUUAUGUAGUAUUUUUGUUUUGCUAAUUAUAUGACCUCUGUUUAUUUGAUUACAAGUUAGUUAUUUUUGUU